UACGAUUUUUGAGUAUAUGAAUUUCUCAUCCGGGUCCAGAUACAUUAUUUAUUCAUCAUUCCGUCAUUUAUCCGUCGUAAAUAACCGUUAUUUAACGGUUCGUCAUUUUACGUUUGCCGCUGCUUGCGCUUGUUGUGCUUUGGUGCUUGCCGCUUGGUUCAGCAAUCAACAUGUUAAAUUGUUAACUGUCUUUGUCAGUCAGCUGUACGAAGUUUCCGCUGCGCCACAAAACGGGUCGACGCCGGUCGCUGAACAUGGGAAGUCUUCAAGUCCACCCAGAAUCGUAUUGAUGAAUCAACAAUACAUCUUACAUCUUACAUCUUUCAUUGCAAUCUUAUAAUUAUUCACCUGAAUGCAUUGAACAAAAAAAUAAUAGGCCACAAAUAUAAACGGACAGUUCGUUAAACCGGAUAAGUUGUAACACAAACUCGCAAAUUUCGUUUGAUCAGGUUAUUUUCAUAAAAUAUUUCGAUACUUUCAAGUUUCAGCUCAUCGGAGUGGGAUGAUUAGAUAAAGAUGGAUGAAGAUAGCAGUUUCUUCGGCGAUGGAGGCACUAGCUUCGUUUUACCGGAAGAGUAGAUGUUUACGAUUCUGGCUGUAUUCUGGAGCGUUUCCUCGUGGGCGUCGCAGUUAACACGCGUCACGGAUUCCGCCGAAAGAGUCGAUAAUUAAAAACAAUGCCGUAUCAGACGUCACUCCCAAACCGGUCGACAUCCAUCUGCAUAGCUAUCUAAGAUUUGAAAAUGUAAUAUAAGAGUACUCAUAAGUUUGUCUAACUUUAUCAAAUAAAAAAUGUCGACAAGAAAGUCAAAUUAAAUUUUUAUGAGCGUCUGAAAUUAAUAUUUUUACAACAUUUGAUAUUCACUCGAUUUCUCAUGUAACAAUUUUCUUAUUUUAUUGUAAUUAAAAAACGAAUGA